UUUGUUUUUGAAGGAGAAUUUUUUUCUUGGUUUGACUUUGGAGGUGACGGAAUCGAGGGUUUGUUUGAGGUCGGAGAUGGUUUUGAGAGAUGAGCGGACUUCGUAUGGGGGUAAAAAGUAGGAGUUUUCAGCAACUAGUUUUUCGAGGUCGGAAAUGGAAUUGGAGAUUCUUUCGAGGUCGGAAUUGGGAUCUUGGUUUGGGAUUUGUUGGAUUUGAGUGAGGGAGGAUUCGAUUGAUUGUUUGGAGUUUGUGAAGGUGGUGAGAAAUGAUUGGGUGGAUUCAAAAGUCGGGUCUUUUGAGUUGGUUUUGGUGGAAAUACGGG
rnacentral:lncRNA from 1 species